CCUACGGGUGGCAGCAGUGAGGAAUAUUGGUCAAUGGGCGCGAGCCUGAACCAGCCAAGUAGCGUGAAGGAUGACUGCCCUACGGGUUGUAAACUUCUUUUAUCAAGGAAUAAAGUGAGGCACGUGUGCCUUUUUGUAUGUACUUUAUGAAUAAGGAUCGGCUAACUCCGUGCCAGCAGCCGCGGUAAUACGGAGGAUCCGAGCGUUAUCCGGAUUUAUUGGGGUUAAAGGGGGCGGAGACGGGUUGUUAAGUCAGUUGUGAAAGUUUGCGGCUCAACCGUAAAAUUGCAAUUGAUACUGGCAGUCUUGAGUACAGUUGAGGUAGGCGGAAUUCGUGGGGUAGCGGUGAAAUGCUUAGAUAUCACGAAGAACUCCGAUUGCGAAGGCAGCUUACUAAGCUGCCACUGACAUUGAUGCACGAAAGUGUGGGGAUCAAACAGGAGUAGAUACCCCAGUAGUC
rnacentral:rRNA from 1 species